UAGGGAAUCUUCGGCAAUGGGGGGAACCCUGACCGAGCAACGCCGCGUGAGUGAAGAAGGUUUUCGGAUCGUAAAGCUCUGUUGUUAAGGAAGAACGAGUGUGAGAAUGGAAAGUUCAUACUGUGACGGUACUUAACCAGAAAGGGACGGCUAACUACGUGCCAGCAGCCGCGGUAAUACGUAGGUCCCGAGCGUUGUCCGGAUUUAUUGGGCGUAAAGCGAGCGCAGGCGGUUAGAUAAGUCUGAAGUUAAAGGCAGUGGCUCAACCAUUGUAUGCUUUGGCAACUGUUUAACUUGAGUGCAGAAGGGGGGCGUGGUAUUCCGUGUGUAGCGGUGAAAUGCGUAGAUAUAUGGAGGAACACCGGUGGCGAAAGCGGCUCUCUGGUCUGUAACUGACGCUGAGGCUCGAAAGCGUGGGGAGCGAACAGG
rnacentral:rRNA from 1 species